rfam:[Actinobacillus] muris strain Ackerman80-443D cont9, whole genome shotgun sequence.
UCAUCACCAUCAUUUUCCUGAAUAAUCUUUCGGGCAUUUGGUGUAUUCGGAAGAUAACUUCCGAGUACGAAUGAAACAGAACGCAAUUCAACCCCUCGGAAGCGAUUUCGAGGGGUUUUUCU